rnacentral:rRNA from 1 species
UACCAGCACCCCGAGUGGUCGGGACGAUUAUUGGGCCUAAAGCAUCCGUAGCCGGUUCUACAAGUCUUCCGUUAAAUCCACCUUCUUAACAGAUGGGCUGCGGAGGAUACUAUAGAGCUAGGAGGCGGGAGAGGCAAGCGGUACUUAGUGGGUAGGGGUAAAAUCCGUUGAUCCAUUGAAGACCACCAGUGGCGAAGGCGGCUUGCCAGAACGCACUCGACGGUGAGGGAUGAAAGCUGGGGGAGCAAACCGG